AGAGCCAAUGAAGUAGAUUUGUGUCUCCCACAUGACUGUGUUUCCCCUGUCUUUCACAUGGGCAGUAUUUAGUUCAAUUCAGAACUGCAGAUAGUACAGCCUGCUUUGCAGCAAUGGGAUGUCUGAACACAAGUGGCUGACUUCCGAGUGACUUUAUGAAGCACUUUUAUACUUUCCUCCUGCAUUAAACUGGGAUUCUGCAUUCUUGGCACUCCCUCAUCAGACUCUUCUCUGCUGCAGGGAACUGAGUAUUUAGUACAGCUUAGCAUUAUGAAACUGAAUCUGAGCAGAAUUGCAGACCAGCAAAUUAAAAGAGGCUGAAGGCAAUUUGACCAGCAUCUUCUAUGUUCAGUCCACAGAGGUUGAUGAAGCACCAAGUCUCCAAGAGACAAAGGAACACCAUAUGCAGACAAAGUAUGCAGGUAUACUUCGCAGACAGUAGGAGAGGAAUGACUUGGUUAAUUUCACGGAACAACUCGUUUUGA
rnacentral:lncRNA from 1 species